rnacentral:RNase_MRP_RNA from 1 species
UCCGCGCUCGAAGGAUCGCAUUCAAAGCUCACGCACAGCAGAUGCCCACCAGCCUCUGCAUACCCUCUAGCUUUGGGAGAAAGUCCCCGGACCGCCCUACCUUUCCGCGUCCCCAUGCGCGGUUAAAAACGUCAGGACCUGCCGCGAGGCACCGCCAUAAAAGCACCACCACUGCGGUUUUUUCCCCUCCCAACCUGUGCCUCCCACUCUUUCCUCAGGCUCCCCGGGCUACAGCCCGCCGACCUCGCCGUCGCUUGUAUUCCUCUCCUCCGUGCGGGCGGGUGUGUGGGUGUCUCACGUCGACGAGAGAUUCGUCCUGGAGAGUGGAUGAAGAUACGAGUCCGCUCUCCGUUUCGGGAUGUUUUCUCUGAAGCCGAGACGCUGACUUCACCCCACGGAGGUUUGCGAAGAGAUGGCGAGGGUACGUUAUGAACAUAACAUAAUUGGGUGUGUGCUGUCCUGCUUGGGGAUUCGCCCUGAGGAAGCUACGGAGUGAUUUUUGGAGGUUGCGCAAUUCGUCGUAUGUUGAAAGUUAUGCGAUUGCUCUGGCUUAAUGCGGCUGUCUCCCUCUCGUUUGAGUGGGGAGGUGGUCGCCCGAGGCCGAGUAACUCGAUGGGGCUUAUUCUCGAGGCGCGG